UACGGGGGGGGCAAGCGUUGUUCGGAAUUACUGGGCGUAAAGGGCUCGUAGGCGGCCAACUAAGUCAGACGUGAAAUCCCUCGGCUUAACCGGGGAACUGCGUCUGAUACUGGAUGGCUUGAGUUUGGGAGAGGGAUGCGGAAUUCCAGGUGUAGCGGUGAAAUGCUUAGAUAUGACAUAGAACACCGAUUGCGAAGGCAGCUCGCUACACCUAUAUUGACUCUGAGGCACGAAAGCGUGGGGAUCAAACAGG
rnacentral:rRNA from 1 species